rnacentral:rRNA from 1 species
UACGUAGGGUGCGAGCGUUAAUCGGAAUUACUGGGCGUAAAGUGUGCGCAGGCGGCAGAGCAAGUCGAGUGUGAAAGCCCCCGGGCUUAACUUGGGAAUUGCGCUCGAAACUACUUUGCUGGAGUGUGGCAGAGGAAGGUGGAAUUCCACGUGUAGCGGUGAAAUGCGUAGAGAUGUGGAGGAACACCAAUGGCGAAGGCAGCCUUCUGGGCCAACACUGACCGCUCAUGCACGAAAGCGUGGGGAGCAAACAGG